GGUCAAGCGAACAAGUGCAUGUGGUGGAUGCCUUGGCGAUCACAGGCGAUGAAGGACGCGGUAGCCUGCGAAAAGCUACGGGGAGCUGGCAAACGAGCUUUGAUCCGUAGAUGUCCGAAUGGGGAAACCCGGCCCUUUUGGGUCAUCCUAGACUGAAUACAUAGGUCUAGUGAAGCGAACGCGGUGAACUGAAACAUCUAAGUAACCGCAGGAAAAGAAAUCAACCGAGAUUCCCAAAGUAGUGGCGAGCGAAAUGGGAUGAGCCUUGCACUCUUUAUUUGUAUUGUUAGCCGAACGCUCUGGAAAGUGCGGCCAUAGCAGGUGAUAGCCCUGUAGGCGAAAACAGUAUGAAAGAACUAGGUGUGCGACAAGUAGGGCGGGACACGUGAAAUCCUGUCUGAAGAUGGGGGGACCAUCCUCCAAGGCUAAAUACUCGUGAUCGACCGAUAGUGAACCAGUACCGUGAGGGAAAGGCGAAAAGAACCCCGGGAGGGGAGUGAAAUAGAUCCUGAAACCGCAUGCAUACAAACAGUCGGAGCCUCGUAAGGGGUGACGGCGUACCUUUUGUAUAAUGGGUCAGCGACUUACGUUCAGUAGCAAGCUUAACCGUAUAGGGCAGGCGUAGCGAAAGCGAGUCCGAAUAGGGCGUUCAGUUGCUGGGCGUAGACCCGAAACCAGGUGAUCUAUCCAUGGCCAGGAUGAAGGUGCGGUAACACGUACUGGAGGUCCGAACCCACUAACGUUGAAAAGUUAGGGGAUGAGCUGUGGAUAGGGGUGAAAGGCUAAACAAACCUGGAAAUAGCUGGUUCUCUCCGAAAACUAUUUAGGUAGUGCCUCGUGUCUCACCUUCGGGGGUAGAGCACUGUCAUGGUUGGGGGGUCUAUUGCAGAUUACCCCGCCAUAGCAAACUCCGAAUACCGAAGAGUGCAAUCACGGGAGACAGACAUCGGGUGCUAACGUCCGGUGUCAAGAGGGAAACAACCCAGACCGCCAGCUAAGGUCCCCAAAUAUAGCUAAGUGGGAAACGAAGUGGGAAGGCUAAAACAGUCAGGAGGUUGGCUUAGAAGCAGCCACCCUUUAAAGAAAGCGUAAUAGCUCACUGAUCGAGUCGUCCUGCGCGGAAGAUGUAACGGGGCUAAGCUAUAUACCGAAGCUGCGGAUGCGAGCUUUGCUCGCAUGGUAGGAGAGCGUUCCGUAAGCCUGCGAAGGUGCCUUGUAAAGGGUGCUGGAGGUAUCGGAAGUGCGAAUGCUGACAUGAGUAGCGAUAAAGGGGGUGAAAGGCCCCCUCGCCGUAAGCCCAAGGUUUCCUACGCAACGUUCAUCGGCGUAGGGUGAGUCGGCCCCUAAGGCGAGGCAGAAAUGCGUAGCUGAUGGGAAGCAGGUCAAUAUUCCUGCACCAUUGUUAGAUGCGAUGGGGGGACGGAUCGCGGAAGGUUGUCCGGGUGUUGGAAGUCCCGGUCGCUGCAUUGGAGAAGGCGCUUAGGCAAAUCCGGGCGCGUAAUUCAAGGGUGUGGCGCGAGCUCCUUAGGGAGCGAAGCAAUUGGAAGUGGUUCCAAGAAAAGCCUCUAAGCUUCAGUCUAACGAUGACCGUACCGCAAACCGACACAGGUGGGCGAGAUGAGUAUUCUAAGGCGCUUGAGAGAACUCGGGAGAAGGAACUCGGCAAAUUGGUACCGUAACUUCGGGAUAAGGUACGCCCUUGUAGCUUGACUGGCCUGCGCCAGGAGGGUGAAGGGGUUGCAAUAAACUGGUGGCUGCGACUGUUUAAUAAAAACACAGCACUCUGCAAACACGAAAGUGGACGUAUAGGGUGUGACGCCUGCCCGGUGCCGGAAGAUUAAAUGAUGGGGUGCAAGCUCUUGAUUGAAGUCCCGGUAAACGGCGGCCGUAACUAUAACGGUCCUAAGGUAGCGAAAUUCCUUGUCGGGUAAGUUCCGACCUGCACGAAUGGCGUAACGAUGGCCACACUGUCUCCUCCCGAGACUCAGCGAAGUUGAAGUGUUUGUGAUGAUGCAAUCUACCCGCGGCUAGACGGAAAGACCCCAUGAACCUUUACUGUAGCUUUGCAUUGGACUUUGAACCGAUCUGUGUAGGAUAGGUGGGAGGCUAUGAAACCGGAACGCUAGUUUCGGUGGAGCCGUCCUUGAAAUACCACCCUGGUUUGUUUGAGGUUCUAACCUUGGCCCGUGAUCCGGGUCGGGGACAGUGCAUGGUAGGCAGUUUGACUGGGGCGGUCUCCUCCCAAAGCGUAACGGAGGAGUACGAAGGUACGCUAGGUACGGUCGGAAAUCGUGCUGAUAGUGCAAUGGCAUAAGCGUGCUUAACUGCGAGACCGACAAGUCGAGCAGGUGCGAAAGCAGGUCAUAGUGAUCCGGUGGUUCUGUAUGGAAGGGCCAUCGCUCAACGGAUAAAAGGUACUCUGGGGAUAACAGGCUGAUACCGCCCAAGAGUUCAUAUCGACGGCGGUGUUUGGCACCUCGAUGUCGGCUCAUCUCAUCCUGGGGCUGUAGCCGGUCCCAAGGGUAUGGCUGUUCGCCAUUUAAAGAGGUACGUGAGCUGGGUUUAAAACGUCGUGAGACAGUUUGGUCCCUAUCUGCCGUGGGCGUUGGAUAUUUGAAGGGGGCUGCUCCUAGUACGAGAGGACCGGAGUGGACGAACCUCUGGUGUACCGGUUGUCACGCCAGUGGCAUCGCCGGGUAGCUAUGUUCGGAAGAGAUAACCGCUGAAAGCAUCUAAGCGGGAAACUCGCCUUAAGAUGAGAUAUCCCUGGGGACUAGAUCCCCUUGAAGGGUCGUUCGAGACCAGGACGUUGAUAGGUCAGGUGUGUAAGCGCAGUAAUGCGUUCAGCUAACUGAUACUAAUUGCCCGUAAGGCUUGAUCCU
rnacentral:rRNA from 1 species